CCUACGGGCGGCAGCAGUGGGGAAUAUUGGACAAUGGGGGCAACCCUGAUCCAGCCAUGCCGCGUGUGUGAAGAAGGCCCUCGGGUUGUAAAGCACUUUCAGUGAGGAAGAACGCCUGGUGGUUAAUACCCAUCAGGAAAGACAUCACUCACAGAAGAAGCACCGGCUAACUCCGUGCCAGCAGCCGCGGUAAUACGGAGGGUGCGAGCGUUAAUCGGAAUUACUGGGCGUAAAGCGCGCGUAGGUGGCUUGAUAAGCCGGUUGUGAAAGCCCCGGGCGCAACCUGGGAACGGCAUCCGGAACUGUCAAGCUAGAGUGCAGGAGAGGAAGGUAGAAUUCCCGGUGUAGCGGGGAAAUGCGUAGAGAUCGGGAGGAAUACCAGUGGCGAAGGCGGCCUUCUGGACUGACACUGACACUGAGGUGCGAAAGCGUGGGUAGCAAACAGGAUUAGAUACCCCAGUAGUC
rnacentral:rRNA from 1 species